UUUGACCCUAACUCUUCCAACCACGAAGUUGAUGACUUCUCACUAAGAAUAACUUCGUUUUCUGGUUUCUUCAUGCAGGCUUGGCCCCACCGUCCGACCCUUCCAGUAUCGCAUUCAAGGUGAUCAUGUGAACGAAAGACCAAACCACUCCGACUGAAGGAAGUGAACCUGUGCUGGCCUCUUGGCCGUCGUUGGGACGUCUGGGGCUGGGUCGAGACUUUUCUGGCAUACAGAUGGUUAUACUUCCCAGUCCCCUAGCAGCUCCCUUGGCGGAGUCGUGCGAGUGGUUUUGGCUAAUGGGCUGUGCUGCAGCGUGGGAGAGCGGGUGUGAGAACACUGAGUGCUCUCCUCUUCCACCGUGGUGACCCGGGAGGCUUUGUGUUGUCAUGGCAGAGCCGCAGGAUUGAAACGGCCUAUGUUGUGUCACUUCAUGGAGAACAACACCCUGGCGGUCGUCCAGACCCACAGCUGGCUUUGUGGGAGUUGGAAAUGGAUGUGUGAAGCCACUGAGGUUGUGGAGUUGUUUGUUACCACAGCAUAACCUUUCUUGACCAGAGCUUGUUGGAAAAGUUUUCCUGUGAAGGGCUAGAUAGUAAAUAUUUUAGACGAUACAGGUCAUAUGGUCUCUGUCACAACUACUCCACACUUCCAUUGAGCAAAAAGCAACCACAGAUAAUACAUAAAUGAACAAGCAUGGCUGUGUUCCAGUAAAUCUUUAUUUACAAAAAUGGGUGGCAGAUCUGGCCCCUGGACCAUAGUUUGCUGACCUCUGUUCUUGAUUAAUACUUUGGCCUAUGCCUGUCUUAUUACAAAUAAAAUUCUAAAUAAUAAAAUCCUAAAACAUUUCAAUUACAAAGAGAAACAAGCAGGGUUGUCCACUAUUGCCACUUAAUAACACUAUUUUAGAAGGUGUAGUUAAUGCAAUAUGAUGUAAAAUUGAAAUAAUUGGUCUAAAUAUUGGAAAAUAAUUUUUUUUGCUGAUGACAUAAUCAUAUACUCAGAAAAUCUGAGAAACACUAGUAAAAA